rnacentral:rRNA from 1 species
AUGCUCAGAGAAACUUGUCGAGAUGCUCUACCUGAUGAUGAUUUUAUUGUUUUGUUUGUUCAACAGUAUGUAGCGACACAGAUUGUGCUAGGCAUAAUGGAAGGUGGUGCUCAGUUCUACAACAGCCAAGGAUGGGGCAUCGCACCGACGACAGUGAACUGUAAUGAGGGUGAGAUGCCGAUGUCUGCGCCGGCGCCAGAGACCGUGACCACAACUCGGGGGCGAGGUGGCGGUGUCAUCGGCAUUGCCAGUGUUGGCCCCUUGAGUUUUGGACCUGCCGAGCUCUGGUUCUGGAAGCUGCCAAUCCCAUCGAGCCCCUCCAGCAGCCUUCAGUAUACAGUUGAGGAGAAUUUAUAA